GAGACCUGAUCCUAGAUCAGAGCUGCAUAUUAUGCUCCACAGAGGUUACCAUGGUGAUCAGACUGAGGCAACUGUUUAAGAAUGGGAGAUGGAUAUGACUGUUCACUAGAUGUUUUCUAUUGAUCCAUUAUUUAGGGAUCUAGAACGGUCCGGAUAGGAGGGAGAUGAAAUAUGUCAUGCUUGUGUUUUCUCAUUGGCCCUAAAUGAACGAAGCUCUUCCCACAUACAGUACCAGUCAAAAGUUUGGACACACCUACCCAUUCAAGGUUGUUGUUUUAAACUAUUUUCUACAUUGUAGAAUAAUAAAGAAUCAAAUCAAACUUCAUUUGUCACAUGCGCUGAAAACAAGUGCAGACCUGGCCAUCAAAUGCUUACUUUACAAGCCCUUAACCAACAGUGCAGUUCAAGAAGAUGAACUAAAGUAAAAAUGUGUAAAAAAGUAACACAAAAACAUAACAGUAACGAGGCUAUAUACAGGGGUACCAGUACCGAGUCAGUGUGGAGGCUAUAUACAGGGGGUACCGGUACCGAGUCAGUGUGGAGGCUAUAUAAAGGGGGUACCGGUACCAAGUCAGUGUGGAGGCUAUAUACAGGGGGUACCAGUACAGAGUCAGUGUGGAGGCUAUAUACAGGGGGUACCAGUACCGAGUCAGUGUGGAGGCUAUAUAAAGGGGGUACCAGUACCGAGUCAGUGUGGAGGCUAUAUAAAGGGGGUACCAGUACCGAGUCAGUGUGGAGGUUAGAGGUCAUUUGUACAUGUAGGUCGGGGUGAAGUGACUAUGCAUAGAUAAUAAACAGCGAGUAGCAGCAGUGUACAAAACAAAUGAGGGGGGGGGGUCAAUGUAAUAGAUGGGUGGCCUCUGUACUACCCUCUGUAGCGCCUUACGGUCAGAUGCCGAGCAGUUGCCAUACCAGGCGGUGAUGCAACAGUUCAGGAUGCUCUCGAUGGUGCAGCUGUAGAACCUUUUGAGGAUCUGAGGACCCAUGCCAAAUCUUAUCAGUCUCCUGAG
ensembl:lncRNA